GACGAACGCUGGCGGCGUGCUUAACACAUGCAAGUCGAACGGAAAGGCCCUGCUUUUGUGGGGUGCUCGAGGGGCGAACGGGUGAGUAACACGUGAGUAACCUGCCCUUGACUUUGGGAUAACUUCAGGAAACUGGGGCUAAUACCGGAUAGGAGCUCCUGCUGCAUGGGGGGGGUUGGAAAGUUUCGGCGGUUUGGGAUGGACUCGCGGCUUAUCAGCUUGUUGGUGGGGUAGUGGCUUACCAAGGCUUUGACGGGUAGCCGGCCUGAGAGGGUGACCGGCCACAUUGGGACUGAGAUACGGCCCAGACUCCUACGGGAGGCAGCAGUGGGGAAUAUUGCACAAUGGGCGGAAGCCUGAUGCAGCAACGCCGCGUGCGGGAUGACGGCCUUCGGGUUGUAAACCGCUUUCGCCUGUGACGAAGCGUGAGUGGCCGUUAUCGGUAAAGAAGCACCGGCUUACUUCGUGC
rnacentral:rRNA from 1 species